UAUGCAUGUCACAGUCAACGUUAUGAAGCCGACCACCUACUCUCAACACUCCAUUAUUGUCGAUGAAUGGUGACAACUGUAAUAUUUUAGAUUUAGGUUUCAAGGAUUGUUUUUUAUGUAAAGUAUCUAACUCGGAGGAAAAUGCUGAUUGCUGAGAAAGUUUUACAAGGUAAGUAAGUGAAUUUUCUAUUUCAUUAGGUUGUAAAAUUUCUGUUUGUAUUUUAUUUAUGUUUUUGCAAUUAUUUAUGAAUCUUAAUACGUAUGCAAUUAUUCUUAUUAAUUUGUUAGAAUUAGAGUAAUCAGAAAAAUUUAUCAGAUCAUCUGUUUUUAACUCUGUACUAACGUUUGUUUUUAUUUCAGGUAAAUCGAGUUUUGUUCUUGGAUCUUUAGGCCAUUCAGUUUCAUCUUUUUUAAGAUAGUCGGGACCAUGCCACCACAACGUUGAAGAUUGAAGUUCAAUUGGGUCUAUACCGCGGGAAGCUAGGUCACUAGGAUUCAUGGAGGUUUUCAGUUAUAAAUGAAGAUUGUGAUCCAGCAUCUACAAGGCAACGAGCUUGAUGCGGCAAGAACCUUGUAGCCAACAUUGAGAUGCUUCAUGACCUCGGCGAAGACAAUUCGAGCAGAGGUUCAACUUCAAGGCCUCACUCGACUUGUCCUCCGGUGACAACUUACUAAAGUUAGAACAUUCAAGUAUGCGAUGACCUUUAUUACAGAAAGGACAUUUAAAUUGUUUUUUGUCAACUGAUGAAAUAAAUGCCUUUGUAAUUUUAA